GUCCUCGUGCACCGGCUUGGCGAGCCCUGCCUGGAACGCGGGGUCGGAGAAGUAGUUCGCGGUGCCCACGCCGUGCAGGAACG
rnacentral:tRNA from 3 species